GAUUUCUGGUUUAAUGCACCUGGCCCGCAGCCAUUUAGGCUCGUGAGUGCCGGCGCGCGUUUACCAUCCUUCUAGAAAACAAUUCUGCCAUUAACUUGGUGGGAUUGCGAUCUAGAUCUUUUACUUUGAAAAAAUUAGAGUGUUUAAAGCAGCUUUUGCUAUGAAUACAUUAGCAUGGAACAAUAACCUAGGACUCCGGUCCUACCCCGCUGGCUCCUAUAGUUGGUGCUAGCACUGGCCGGCCAGAAGUGAAAUUCUUGGAUUCGGUCAAGACUAAGUUAUGCGAAAGCAUU
rnacentral:rRNA from 1 species